AAGUCGUAACAAGGUUUCUGUAGGUGAACCUGCGGAAGGAUCAUUACCUAGAGUUUGUGGGCUUUGCCCGCUACCUCUUACUUAUGUCUUUUGAGUACUUACGUUUCCUCAGCGGGUUCGCCUGCUGACUAGACAAAAUUAAACCCUUUGCAGUUGCAAUCAGCGUCUGAAAAACAUAAUAGUUACAACUUUUAACAACGGAUCUCUUGGUUCUG
rnacentral:misc_RNA from 1 species